rnacentral:misc_RNA from 1 species
GAUGAAGAACGUAGCGAAAUGCGAUAAGUAAUGUGAAUUGCAGAAUUCAGUGAAUCAUUGAAUCUUUGAACGCACAUUGCGCCCAUUAGUAUUCUAGUGGGCAUGCCUGUUCGAGCGUCAUUAAGUCCACUUAAGCCCUGCUUAGUGUUGGGAGACUGCUCCAGCGGUGCUACCCUGUAGCUACCCUGCAGCUCCUCAAAGACAGCGGCGGAGUUGUGGUAUCCUCUGAGCUUAGUAACUUGUUCUAGCUUUCGAGUACACCACUUCCCCUGCCGUAAAACCCUUAAUUUUUAAUGGUUGACCUCGGAUCAGGUAGGAAUACCCGCUGAACUUAAGCAUAUCAAUAAGCGGAGGA